UUGUAUACAAUUGCCAUUGGAAUCCCUCCAGUCCCCUUGUUACUCCUUGUCACGGACUCCUGGUUUGCCUUCAUUAUUCGUGCAAAAAUCCCCUCUAGUGAUAUAUGUGUAGUGCAGAAUUCACUUUCUGAAAAUUGUAUAUAUUCCAAAGAUGGGCGUAUAAUGUAGUCAGUGUGUGUGUUCACGAAGCCCUAUAUAAUAGUGUGUGUGUGAGAGAGAGAGAGAGACAGAGACAGAGAGAGACAGAGAGAGAGAGAGAGAGAGAGAGAGAGAGAGAAUGAACAAGUUCAAUUUAAAGGAGUUGGUCUUCCACCGUAGAUUGUUACCCAGUUACAGAGAAUCCUACAAUUUCAAGGAACAGAGAGUAUCAAUACCUAAAACAAAAUAUCGUGUAUCAGGUGACGUAUCACUCCUGCACGUUUGUAAUAUUUUUCACAUACAAUGUACUUAAUUUUGCUUUAUACACUGCAACUCGAGGCACUAUUUCCAGAGAGUUGUUUAUACAGAUCCUUGAUCUCGAUUGAUGGUGAGCUUUUGGCGUUUGAUAUGAAUGGCUUCAGUGAGUUUACGUUUCGUGAAAUACUUAAUAUUCCUUUUGGUUUUUGGCCAGUAUGGUGAUGUCAGUCCAGUUUACGUGGUGAUUAGGGUUAGAUUGGAUGUGAUCAGAGAUGGCUGAUUUGCUGUCGGACUUGAUGACGGAGGUCUGGGGUUCUUUCACACGGGUGUUGAUGGGUCGGGAUGUUUCACCUAUGUAACUCUGUCCACCAUACCGUUUUCAAAGCUAUUUUGCCAAAUGUCGGCCAUUUUGAAAAAUGGCUGCCGUUGCUGCCUUUGGCUUAUAUAGUAAUACUUCUAAGACCAGAACUCUUUGCUUUUCACUGAUGUAAUUCUGUGCUGUGUUUCUUAAUAUGACUCAUGUAGCAGUUAUUACAGAUGUAUCUAUCCCACCAUGCAGAUAUAUCAAUAAAAUGAACGUCCUUUUUUUGCAAUGGGUACCUUGCAUCAAACUGCCUCGUUUUUACUUACCCUAUAAUUUGGGAUUACAUGGUACCUGGACCUUUUACAUAGAAGUUGUUGAACACGGCAUUUUUUUGGUCCUGGCUUAACUCCUGUUCUGUUAUAGAGUAGAAUAGAUUCUCAGUAACACAUUUGUUUCCCAACGUGGCAGAUUACAUCCUCAGCAUCUCGUACUUGUCUCUUGGCUAUAAUACUGACUGCCUGACUGACUGACUGAUUUAGUUGUACGCCGACAUGAGGCUUUUACAACAUUCACUCGAAACUGAUACAAUGUGCAUGCCAGUGUAUGUAAAUAAAGCCAAUAAAGAAAACACUUUGAUUAUUAAGGAUUUUAAUG